rnacentral:lncRNA from 1 species
UGGUAAUCCGAUCUCAAGUGAAAUCAUCACCUCCGUCCCAUAGGUUAGGUUGAAUGGUGAUUCUCCUAUCGAUAUCGAGGAGUUGUUCGAUAUACCCAUAAGAUCGGAUAUAAUUCUUUCACCUAGAGGUCUUUAGCUUCAUUCAGUCUGAUCUUGAGACCAUGUAGGAUUGUUCAGUUUGUUACUUUCACUUCACCAUUGGAUUGUGGAUGGCCGACUGAUGUGAACUUGUGCGUAAUAUGAAAUUUUACACA